AUUGAACGCUGGCGGCAGGCUUAACACAUGCAAGUCGAACGAUGAUUAUCUAGCUUGCUAGAUAUGAUUAGUGGCGGACGGGUGAGUAACAUUUAGGAAUCUACCUAGUAGUGGGGGAUAGCUCGGGGAAACUCGAAUUAAUACCGCAUACGACCUACGGGUGAAAGGGGGCGCAAGCUCUUGCUAUUAGAUGAGCCUAAAUCAGAUUAGCUAGUUGGUGGGGUAAAGGCCCACCAAGGCGACGAUCUGUAACUGGUCUGAGAGGAUGAUCAGUCACACCGGAACUGAGACACGGUCCGGACUCCUACGGGAGGCAGCAGUGGGGAAUAUUGGACAAUGGGGGCAACCCUGAUCCAGCCAUGCCGCGUGUGUGAAGAAGGCCUUUUGGUUGUAGAGCACUUUAAGCAGGGAGGAGAGGCUAAUGGUUAAUACCCAUUAGAUUAGACGUUACCUGCAGAAUAAGCACCGGCUAACUCUGUGCCAGCCGCCGCAGUAAUAC
rnacentral:rRNA from 1 species